AUCACUUGGGGGUCUUGUUUAAAUGCAAAUUCUGAUUUAGCAGGUCUGGGGUGAGGUCUGAGAUCCUGCAUUUAUAACAAGCCCCCAGGUGAUGCCAA
rnacentral:pre_miRNA from 1 species